rnacentral:rRNA from 1 species
CCGGACCUGACUGCUAUCGGAUUGAUACUAAGCCAUGCGAGUCAUUGUAGCAAUACAAGGCGGACGGCUCAGUAACACGUAGUCAACCUAACCUAUGGACGUGGAUAACCUCGGGAAACUGAGAAUAAACCACGAUAGAUCAUAGUGCCUGGAAUGGCUUAUGGUCCAAACAGUUUACUGCCAUGGGAUGGGACUGCGGCCUAUCAGCUUGUUGGUGAGGUAAUGGCCCACCAAGGCGAUUACAGGUACGGGCUCUGAGAGGAGAAGCCCGGAGAUGGGUACUGAGACACGGACCCAGGCCCUAUGGGGCGCAGCAGGCGAGAAACCUUAGCAAUGUGCGAAAGCACGACUGGGUCAGUCCGAGUGAUUCCUGAUAAAGGAGUCUUUUGCCUGUCCUAAAAGCACAGGUGAAUAAGGGGUGGGCAAGUCUGGUGUCAGCCGCCGCGGUAAUACCAGCACCUCGAGUGGUCAGGACGUUUAUUGGGCCUAAAGCAUCCGUAGCCGGCUCUGCAAGUCUUCGGUUAAAUCCACCUGCUCAACAGAUGGGCCGCUGGAGAUACUACAGAGCUAGGGAGUGGGAGAGGCAGACGGUAUUCAGUGGGUAGGGGUAAAAUCCUCUGAUCCAUUGAGGACCACCAGUGGCGAAGGCGGUCUGCCAGAACACGUUCGACGGUGAGGGAUGAAAGCUGGGGGAGCAAACCGGAUUAGAUACCCGGGUAGUCCCAGCUGUAAACGAUGCAAACUCGGUGAUGCAUUGGCUUAUGGCCAAUGCAGUGCCGCAGGGAAGCCGUUAAGUUUGCCGCCUGGGAAGUACGGACGCAAGUCUGAAACUUAAAGGAAUUGGCGGGGGAGCACCACAAGGGUGAAGCCUGCGGUUCAAUUGGAUUCAACGCCGG